GUAUAAUAUGGCUACCGUGAUGCGAAAAAAGCCUCCAUUUGCAUUCCUCUUCGUUUUUUAUUAUCGACGACAAUCCCCUUACACUUGAUAUUCCCAAAUACAACCCUAAUUUCUUUGAACCCAAAAUUAUUAAAUAACUCAAUUUCAACGAAGUUUAAAAUGACAUGAGAUGUUCAAGCAUGCGAUUUCAAGAAAAUGGUUGCUGGUAAUUGGUAGCUAGACAC
rnacentral:lncRNA from 1 species